GACGAACGCUGGCGGCGUGCUUAACACAUGCAAGUCGAACGGAAAGGCCCUGCUUUUGUGGGGUGCUCGAGUGGCGAACGGGUGAGUAACACGUGAGUAACCUGCCCUUGACUUUGGGAUAACUUCAGGAAACUGGGGCUAAUACCGGAUAGGAGCUCCUGCUGCAUGGUGGGGGUUGGAAAGUUUCGGCGGUUGGGGAUGGACUCGCGGCUUAUCAGCUUGUUGGUGGGGUAGUGGCUUACCAAGGCUUUGACGGGUAGCCGGCCUGAGAGGGUGACCGGCCACAUUGGGACUGAGAUACGGCCCAGACUCCUACGGGAGGCAGCAGUGGGGAAUAUUGCACAAUGGGCGGAAGCCUGAUGCAGCAACGCCGCGUGCGGGAUGACGGCCUUCGGGUUGUAAACCACUUUCGCCUGUGACGAAGCGUGAGUGACGGUAAUGGGUAAAGAAGCACCGGCUAACUACGUG
rnacentral:rRNA from 1 species